CCUACGGGUGGCAGCAGUAGGGAAUCUUCCACAAUGGGCGAAAGCCUGAUGGAGCAACGCCGCGUGGGUGCAGAAGGUCUUCGGAUCGUAAAACCCUGUUGUUAGAGAAGAAAGUGCGUGAGAGUAACUGUUCAUGUUUCGACGGUAUCUAACCAGAAAGCCACGGCUAACUACGUGCCAGCAGCCGCGGUAAUACGUAGGUGGCAAGCGUUAUCCGGAUUGAUUGGGCGUAAAGGGAACGCAGGCGGUCUUUUAAGUCUGAUGUGAAAGUCCGCGGCUCAACCGUGGAAUUGCAGUUGAAACUGGAGGCCUUGAGUGCACACAGGGAUGCCGGAAUUCAUGGUGUAGCGGUGAAAUGCUUAGAUAUCAUGAAGAACUCCGAUCGAGAAGGCAAGUGUCCGGGGUGCAACUGACGCUGAGGCUCGAAAGUGCGGGUAUCAAACAGGAUUAGAUACCCCUGUAGUC
rnacentral:rRNA from 1 species